rnacentral:rRNA from 1 species
AACGAACGCUGGCGGCAGGCUUAACACAUGCAAGUCGAGCGCCCCGCAAGGGGAGCGGCAGACGGGUGAGUAACGCGUGGGAAUCUACCCAUCUCUACGGAAUAACGCAUGGAAACGUGUGCUAAUACCGUAUACGUCCUUCGGGAGAAAGAUUUAUCGGAGAUGGAUGAGCCCGCGUGGGAUUAGCUAGUUGGUGGGGUAAAGGCCUACCAAGGCGGCGAUCCAUAGCUGGUCUGAGAGGAUGAUCAGCCACACUGGGACUGAGACACGGCCCAUACUCCUACGGGAGGCAGCAGUGGGGAAUAUUGGACAAUGGGCGCAAGCCUGAUCCAGCCAUGCCGCGUGAGUGAUGAAGGCCCUAGGGUUGUAAAGCUCUUUCACCGGUGAAGAUAAUGACGGUAACCGGAGAAGAAGCCCCGGCUAACUUCGUGCCAGCCGCCGCGGUAACAC